CGCAAAUGCAAGAACUGUGGAAAGCAUGGCUUGUCUCCAGGGCCCACUCUACAACUUGGGAGGGGCUGUCAAUUGCCUGCUCCAGAAUACCUUCUCUUCUUUGUCCCCCAGCCAUGGAAGGACUUGGACAGACCACCCUGACUUUUGGAGAGAAAACAACAUCUGAACGAGAGGUAAUGGCUUGAUGGAUUUUCAGCUUCAACUCAAUAAUCAAGGAACUACCCUUCCUCUUACACUAGGGGGUGCAUGAAGACUAAGAUUCAGAAUCUUCUCGGCCAUCUUCUCCACAGUGAUUUGUGUCAGCUCCUGCCCCCUUUCUUCAGAACUGGUUUUCCAGUGUCAUGACUUGGAAGAAGGAAAAGAAUUACCGGGAACCUCCCCUACUUCACAAAGCAGGCGUGUCCUCCACCGGGUUGCUCUGUCCUCCUCACCACAGAUCAGGCACACCGUGACCUACCCACAGGGUGCAGCACUUCUGGGGCAUCCUGCCCGGAGCUGGGGACCCACAGAAGAAAAGAGAAGCACUGCUUUAAACACAGGACAGGUGCCAAGACUGGUGCUGAUAUUUGCCUUUAAGAUCACUGGACUCAGUUCUGCAGAGGAGAAGGAUCAACCGUGUCACAGAAACAACUUUGCUCAUCGUGCUCCCAGGGAUGUCUGUCAGAGGUUGCUUGUAAUCAAGCCCUGAAAAUCUAUGCCAUGCAGCUGCACUGUCUGUGAUGCCAUGUAUGUCAAUGAGAAAAAUUCAUGAUUUAGGAAUGCAUCUGAACUGUGUUUUGCUUCUCCAUGCCCUAGUCAGAUGUAGGCUUGUUUUGGUCCUCUACAGAGUUAUAAAUAAAGAGCCA
rnacentral:lncRNA from 1 species